CAGAGAAACUCCAAUAGUGCAGAUUGUAAAUCAGCAAAUUGAUAGAUAAAAAAUUCUCAUAGCAGAUGAUCCACUCACCUAUUUCUGAGCAUAAACUAGCUCAAGUGGUAAUAGCGUCCGGUGGCGUUGAUCCUCCACUGGUAGGAUAUAGGUGGUGAAAGUAUGAAGAGCUCCUCGGUAUAUAGAGAGAUGGAGAAACAAUAUAGUGCUCACUGAAUAAGUGAAAAGGUAAAAUAAUAAGAGCAGUAAAAUACUCA